UACGUAGGGGGCAAGCGUUGUCCGGAUUUAUUGGGCGUAAAGAGCGUGUAGGCGGCUGGGUAGGUCUUGCGUCAAAACCUGAGGCUCAACCUCAGUUCGCGUGGGAAACCACCUAGCUAGAGUCCGGAAGAGGAGGACGGAAUUCCCAGUGUAGCGGUGAAAUGCGCAGAUAUUGGGAAGAACACCAGUGGCGAAGGCGGUUCUCUGGGACGGUACUGACGCUGAGACGCGAAAGCGUGGGGAGCGAACAGG
rnacentral:rRNA from 1 species